UACUGUGUAUUAGAUUGAAUUCAACAUGCGAAAAAAAGCAAGUAACAUUAUCUUACCUGGAAACUGAACACCUGUGAUAUAUAUGUUUUCAUUUUAAAGAUGGCUGAUUUUAAACAUCUCUACCAGAACAGGUUCAUUCUUCUUGGUAAGGUUUGAAGAAGAACAGCUUCUUUUAAGGACUGAUUUACAGUACUUUGAACAUUGUUAUCUGUAUUCCAUCAGUAAUUUCUUUUGGUUAUCAGGUAUACCCAUGUUUUAAUAAUAGCUGCCUUGUGAAAUCAGCUCCUCCUUAGACCUACUCCAGGAAUAAAACCGUAAUGCCAAGUUCAUGAUAUCUUAGUAUGUUGCUAUGGAAGUGAUAUUAACAGUAUUAGAAAUCCAGCAUUGCGAAUUGUGCAGCAGUGCAAUGUAAUAGAAACGAAAGCAUUGAUGUGAUAGCAGAAGCAGAUUCCUUUUCAAGAAAAAUAUCAUUGAUUCUUUGGAAAAACAUUGAAGAAAAUGAGGACAGUGUAUCAAAGGAAAAAAUACACACACAAAUGCCUAUGUCUUUUUGUUCCUAAGGAUUCCAGUCUUUGAGAUUUGAUCAAAUAGCAAGGGAUGAUUGCUUGUCAUCAUACUGCUGGGAAGAAUGUUUCCUGUGCUGAAGGACUGUGCUCACUUCAUAUAUGUUUGUAUGUACUAUGAGUCUCUGCUUCAGAGGAUCUCUUCUGUUGUUUGGUGCAUCGAAGUGGGAGUGUGAUGAAGUCAUUGUGGCUAUUCAUAGCCCACCAGAAAAAUGGAAGAAAUCUUUGUGUUGAGAUUGUGCCUUCUGAGUGGAGAGAAGCCUCAGGGUGUGAGAAAUUAAAAACAGAGCGAAGUCACCUGCAAAAGGGUAACAUCUCUAAAGGUUGCAGCAUCAUCUCAUCUGAAGCAUGAUGUACCAUAAAACAUGUGGAGCAUUUCUGUCAAAAUUUUCAAGUGAACACUGGGAAUGAGACUGUAUCUGGGUUCAGAAAUCUCCCCAUGUGGAGAGAAAAGAAAAAGAAAGGUAGUACCAGAGCACUGACUGCAGGUUAUGGCCUUUUGACUUUUAGCAAGAUUCCUUUUGGGCAGCAAGCACCAUUGGUCUGUAUGUUGCUGGCAGAUUCAUGAAAAGAUAAAAGAAGAAUAAAACCUCUACCUACUGCUGCAUAGCCUGGAAAUAAUUAUGUAUACGUUGUCUUCUAUCAUUCUCACAUAACAUAAUAUUUCUUAAAGCUGAUGUGCAAAUGGUGUCUAUUCCAUAUAUGAAGCAGUGGUUUUCUGAUUUUUGUGAUAACUGUUAAUGGAUUAUAUUAAUUCGAUUAAGCAAUCUCAUCGAUUAUGAAAUACUGCUGUCCACUAGAAGGUCUUAAGAGUAUUUUGUAGAAUAGAGAUGAAUAGACAAGACUACAUGCAUACUGUGCUCCAUAGAGCAUUUGCCUCUGUAAAAGGCACAGUCUGCUGACUUCAGCAUUCAAUAGUAUCAGCAGCCCUUUAUCAACAAUGUUUAUCCCCUUGACUCUGUGUAUCAGGCAAGAGAUCAGUUAGUCGCAUUGUUUUUUAAUGUAUCCAAACGUAUACAUAGCCAGAACAUAAUCCUCAUAUGGAUGCCCGGGUUCUGCUAAGGUUAGAACUGACUCAUCCAGUGGUUUUUAUUUUUUCUAACUGGCAGAUUACUACCUGAACUGUACUAAGCAACUACAAGAAGUCUCUGAAUACCAUAAUAUCAUAAAAGUUCUCUAAAAGGAGUACUGAGUCUAGGAAAAGCACAAUUAGAAUAAUCUGGUUGGUUUUCAUAUACAAUAUUUUAAACAUAAACUAAUGCAACAAACAUAACUGAAUUUUCUGGGUGUUUCUUUUGUUUGUUUGUUUUUUGUUGUUUUUGUUUUUGUUUUCUCCUCACUAACAGGGCAGAGCAUUUUGAAGGGUUCUGUUUAAAACACUGACAAUAGCCAAAUAUUUGCAUGGGAUAUUUUUUCAUAUUGAUAUUAAUAAAAAACAAACCUUCAUUUCUCUGGUUGUAAGAGAAUUGUGUCGCUAUACAUUUUCUUAAUGCUUAGUGAAAAUAUCAUAUUGUCUAUCAUCACUUUGCAUAAUAUUUUUGUAUAGCAAAAUGAACUUUUCAGACAUCAAAUGGAAUUACUGAAAUAUAAUUCAAGUAUUUCAGCUUUAAAAAAAAUCAGCUUCAAAUCAGUAAAUUAAGAAGUAGAUCUAUUCAGGGUACUUUGGGAAUGGAAAGAUUCUGAAUUUUGCCUAAAUUUCAUUUCAAAUUAGCAAUUCCAUACUGCUCAUGCAGUAAUUCAAGUUUGACAGUGAGAAACUUUAAACAGCAAGUAACUCUCUUGGAUUACAAUAAUACAACAAGUACAAGUAAAAGCAUCUGGUUUUUCAGCUACUGGCUAAAAUGAGAGAAGACUUAAGUUUGCUAGGAUGUAGUUGAAAAGAUCUUUGAGAACUUAAUGGCAAAUCACACGUCCUUAUUUUUCUUCCUUUUUUAAGAAAUGCUGUAUUCGAAAGUUCUGUUCAAGGUUAUAUUACAAUUACCUUAUUUUCAAAAAUGAAGAUGAAUGUUCACUUUUGUAUUUUCACGUAACUAGACUUUUGGAAGAGAUGUUAAAUUUAUAAUAUGGUGUUUACAGUAAUUUCCUUUAUGACAUAAAUUAUGAGUAGUUAACAAUGAUCACUUGGAGGAAAAAAAAAAGCAACUCAUCUGUAUAAUAUGGUAGAACCAUAAGAGAGGAAUCCAUAACAUUACAGUACAUAGUCUUAGCUUCUGCAGAAAUCACUUCCAGAUGUUAAAUAGAAUAUAUAUAUAUAUUUUUAAUCUUGUGGUUGGAAUUAAUAGAAGUAAUAAAAUAUUCAGGUUAGCAUUUAAAAACAAGUUUUCCUUUGAGAUGGGACUUAAGUGUGAUUGGGAAUGGAAAGCAUGCAUGAUUAUUAUUAUUCAUAUCUUGCAUGAUAUUAAUACAAUUUAAUAGCCAAAGAUGAAUAUCCAAAGCAGUAUCUUUUCAUAUUAAUAUGAGGUAUAUGGUUUAGUAGUAUACUUACAAGAACAGUACCCAAUGUGUUAGAUAAUUUGUUAACAAAAAUUCCAGUUAUUGUUAUGUAACCUAAGAAAAACAAGUGGUUCAGUAACAUGUUAUUCAUAACGACCAAAUUACUGUAAUUUGGUAAUGUUUAAAACUGAAGUUCAAAAAGAAAAUGUAAGAAAAAUACACAUCAUUCCAUCUUCCUUGCAUUUGCAUACCAUUUUACUUCUCAUUAUUUUGCAGGUUAUGUUUGCAAGAAUGCUUACAUGAGUAUGUACCAUCCCUCAUGUUUAUAACACAAUAAGAAUGUGUAUUAAGUAUUUGAACUACACUAAAGUUCUGUUUUGGGGUCAUAGCAUUAAUUCCUGCAGUAGCUCACUCUAACGAGCUCUGAGAGCUCUGCAAAGCAGAGUGACACAUGUAUCAGUCAGGGCUCAAACACUGAACACACUACGCUUGGGUUGCAUUCAAUUGAUUUGCCAAUUGGAGACAAGUAUUGUAGGUUAACUUUGGUAAAAUAUAAACAUAAUGGCUGAAAACUGGAGGCUUCUGCAAACACUCAAUAUUCUUCCCUUUCUGAAUUAAAAUUGAUCCAGUUAUUCCUUGUCUUUGGUCAGGAUUCCUAGUCUCAAGUUAUUGUCUGGAAGUUUGCAUAUUAUUUUUGUGCCUUUCUGUCUAAGGAAGAAAGGGAAAUGCAAUCAGAUACAAAAAUUUAAUACUCCUGUCUUUAAUCAUAUUAUCUAAAUUCCAUUUAUAUUUUUAAUAAUAUAUGUAGGAUGUCAGAAACAUAAAGAGGGUAUGAUGAAGUUUAUAUUUGUCUAAUCUGAACCCCAGAAUGCACAGUUUCCACCUUGCUUAGCUGAUUUAAUAUCCAACUGGUGUAUAGCAUGGCUUUAUCACAAAAAGUUAUGUCACAGUAACUAUGUUGUAUUUCAACAGGCGAACACAAGACACUAUGUAAUAGCUUCAGCUGCUCAGUGGUGUGGUGAUGAUAUCUUCUGUCUUAUUAUGGCUGCUUGGAUGCUCCAAAGAAAGAUCACUUGAAAGGUUUCUAAAACUGUAUCUUUUACAGCAGACAUGUGAAAGGAUGUGCAAAUCAAAAGACUUCUGUUAUUUCUGCCUAAAGGCCAAACAUCUUGGAACAAUUCAGCAGAGAGUUUGAAUUGCCCACACCAUUGUAUGGAAUAAGUCUAAUAGUCAGAAUUUUUCUGAAGUGAUCGAAAAUUUAUGCCCAGGCAGGCUUACAGUGUUGGAGAUGCAUACAGUGUAUUAGGAAUUAAAACAUCACAUUUGAAUACUUCUGCCAAAUUUUUGUCUCUUUCUGCUAUAAUUUCAGAACUUGAUGGCUAUAUUAAGAUUAGUAAGAUAUUGUAAAUAAGUUAUUUAUUGAGUAAGUUUGCACUGGAAGAAUAUUUAGUGAAAUUAGUGUCAUUGUUAGAGACAGUGGAACACUUUGGCAAAUUUAACAAGGAAUUUAAAAGUUAAUAAAGAAGAAAUGUAUGUAUCUCA